rnacentral:rRNA from 1 species
UACGGAGGGUGCGAGCGUUGUCCGGAAUCACUGGGCGUAAAGGGCGCGUAGGCGGCGCGGAAAGUCGUCGGUGAAAGCUCGGGGCUCAACCCUGAGUCUGCCGGUGAUACUCCCGCGCUCGAGCUCACUAGAGGCAGAUGGAAUUCCGGGUGUAGCGGUGGAAUGCGUAGAGAUCCGGAAGAACACCGGUGGCGAAGGCGGGACUCUGGGCCGAGUACUGACGCGUGAGGAGCGGAAAGCGUGGGGAGCAAAGCAGGGAU